CAGCCAGGCCAGGUGAUCGCGGCUGGACAGACGAAAGGGUUCAGACGAGGAAAGUCCGGGCUUCACAGGGCAGGAUGCCGGAUAACGUCCGGUGGAGGUAACUCCCAGACCAGUGCAACAGAAAUAAACCGCCUCCUUUGCGGGGUAAGGGUGGAAAGGCAGUGUAAGAGACUACCGCCGCUGUGGUAACAGAGCGGGCACAUGUAAACUCCAUUCGAAGCAAGACCGAGAAGAA
rnacentral:ncRNA from 3 species